rnacentral:rRNA from 1 species
CAGCAGCCACGGUAAUACGAAGGGGGCUAGCGUUGCUCGGAAUGACUGGGCGUAAAGGGCGCGUAGGCGGCGAUCAAAGUCAGGCGUGAAAUUCCUGGGCUCAACCUGGGGGCUGCGCUUGAUACUUGGUUGCUUGAGUGGGGAAGAGGGUCGUGGAAUUCCCAGUGUAGAGGUGAAACUCGUAGAUAUUGGGAAGAACACCGGUGGCGAAGGCGGCAACCUGGUCCUUGACUGACGCUCAUGCACGAAAGCGUGGGGAGCAAACAGGAUUAGAUACCCCCGUAGUCCCUGUCUCUUAUAC